UACGUAGGGGGCAAGCGUUGUCCGGAAUUAUUGGGCGUAAAGAGCGUGUAGGCGGCCAGAUAAGUCCGCUGUGAAAUCUCGAGGCUCAACUUCGAGCUGUCGGUGGAAACUAUCUGGCUAGAGUCCGGAAGAGGAGAAUGGAAUUCCUGGUGUAGCGGUGAAAUGCGCAGAUAUCAGGAAGAACACCCGUGGCGAAGGCAGCUCUCUGGGACGGUACUGACGCUGAGACGCGAAAGCGUGGGGAGCGAACAGG
rnacentral:rRNA from 1 species